GGUGAGAUGGCCGAGUUGGUCUAAGGCGCCAGAUUAAGGCUUCCGUCACAUUCUGGUCUCAUUCUUGGGGCGUGAGUUCGAAUCUCACUCUCAUCA
rnacentral:tRNA from 1 species